rnacentral:rRNA from 1 species
UACGUAGGGUCCGAGCGUUGUCCGGAAUUAUUGGGCGUAAAGAGCUCGUAGGCGGUUCGUCGCGUCGGCUGUGAAAUCCCGAGGCUCAACCUCGGGUCUGCAGUCGAUACGGGCGGACUGGAGUUCGGCAGGGGAGACUGGAAUUCCUGGUGUAGCGGUGAAAUGCGCAGAUAUCAGGAGGAACACCGGUGGCGAAGGCGGGUCUCUGGGCCGAUACUGACGCUGAGAAGCGAAAGCAUGGGGAGCGAACAGG